rnacentral:lncRNA from 1 species
GGUGGAGCCGGCUCCUGGUUUCCGGCGGCCCAGGUGUUGGACAUUUCUUCCCUUGCUCCUCCGAGAGGGCUGAACUGGGGGAGGAGGCUCCUCUCAAAUUAGGAACGAAGCCAGGGUGCACUGAUUAGUAGGGAACAUUGGAACCUAACAACCAGACACUCUCAACAUACAGGGAGAACAAUGAAGAAAACUUCAAAGAAACCAAUUGUUGUUGCCCUAAUCUAACAAAGAAGUACACUGAAACUUUACUGCUCUGCAAUAAAGCACAGCAAACUGGGAUGAAUUUGUGAGAACCAAGUUCAGUACCCAGCAUCUUCAUGGUGGCUCACAAUCAUCUGUAACUCCAGUUCCAGUGGAUCUGAUGCUUUUAGGUCUCCAUGAGCACCAGAUAGGGUUUUUACAAGCCCUGGGCAUCAGUGGAACUAUGUAGACCAGCCUGGUAUCAAAUCACAAAGAUCUGCCUGCCUUUACCUCCCUAUCACUGGGCUAGAAGGUGUGCACUACUAUGCUGGGCUUAACCAAAGGAAGUUGAUCAGAGAAUAUGUCUGUGAGGAAAAAAAAGUUGUUAUUAAGUGAAAAAGUAAGACAAAGCUAAAAACAAAAACAAGGAAAACUCAGAAAAACAUUGAAAGUCUCAAGAUGAUCUAGUGAAUUUGGGAAGCGACAAGUACUUUACCUGUGUGUGCCUAUGUAUACAUUCAUGUACAUUCAUUAUUAAGACUGAAAUAUGUGACUAAAUAUGAGAUCCUUUUCUGAAGUGGAUGUGAUAGAACAAUUUUUUUAAUGCAAAAAGACUUUAUUGGAUUUCAUUCAUAAAAUGAUGCCUAUGAUAGCCAUGUAGAGGAUAUAUGGAAGUGUGUUGGAAGAGUCUUUGAGAAGCCCACACCAUGCUCUCAGGUACAACUCUCUUCUAAGUACCUUUCUUUUAACCUGUAUGUUUACAGUGUUAAAUAUAACCUGAACUUGUAAGCCAAAUAAACCCUUUCUUCUUUAAGUUGUUUUUUUGUCAAGGUAUUGAAACUUUUGAUAGUUCUGGUCGUUUAGAAUAAAGGUAUUGCUUUUUUCCUUUUCUUUCCAAAUAUUAUGUCACAGCUUUUUUUUUUUUACAGCUUUAUGGAAGCAUAAAUGGCAUGUAACAAAUUAUUGUAUAGCAUAUAACUUAGUAACUUGCAUUUGUGUAUACCAGUGAGAAAGUACCAUUUAAAAUAAAGAAAGCAAGUU